UGUUAGGUAUCUUAAAAAGAAUUGAUUUUUUAAUUCAAUAUAUAAUAAUUUUAAUUUAUUUCUAAUAA
rnacentral:tRNA from 1 species